rfam:Brassica oleracea var. oleracea cultivar TO1000 chromosome C4, whole genome shotgun sequence
UAAAAAGCAGAGAUCUGUAGCAAUUAACAUAUACUUCAGGGACAUUGAAAUGGUCAUCCUGAUUGGGUGAAUCUUAAUUUAAUUUUCUUAUAGCUAUAAAGAUUCAGUACAUGAUGGUAAAUUC